GACGAACUGUGCAAACGUUAUUCGGAAUCACUGGGCUUGAAGAGUGCGUAGGCGGUUUCGUAAGUAGGGUGUGAAAGCCCCCGGCUCAACCGGGGAAUUGCGCUCUAAACUGGACGGCUUGAGUGAGAUAGGGGUGUGCGGAACUUCCAGUGGAGCGGUGAAAUGUGUUGAUAUUGGAAGGAACGCCGGUGGCGAAAGCGGCACACUGGGUCUUAACUGACGCUGAGGCACGAAAGCCAGGGUAGCGAACGGG
rnacentral:rRNA from 1 species